GUUAUCCUUCUCUGAACUCAAAUAUCUAAAGUAUGCGAAGCCUUAAAAUAUGGGGAUUUCGGGAUAGGCUUACGAUUUAGGGCUUGUCUAGGGUUUUUAUCUGAAGCUCUGUCUCCUUUCUCUAAUCUACAUUUGAUUUAGGGCUUGUCUGAUUUGUGGUCUUGAUUUCUGUUCUCACCCUUGAACUGCAAGCUUUUCACCCUUGAAUUCCAUUUUUCUAAAUGCAUGCAAGGGCUGUUAAGGAGAAAAUUAUUUUCAUGAUUUUACCACCUUUACUGAAUGAAGUUCUUGAAACAGAAGGGGGUGACUGGUUUCCUGCAGAAAAAAAUUGGGUGGGGGUACAUUUUACUCUUAACUUUUGCAGGAAAUUUAUAUAUGUUGAUCUUCAAAGUGUUACAGAGAACAUCCAGAUGAUGUUGUGAUUUAUUUUAUAGUGAUAACUGAACAUACCUAUAGCUUUGACAAAGGGAAGAGUAGUAUAUGAAUUAGAACCCCUCUAGCCUCUUGGCUUUCUCUGUUGUAGCAUCCCCUAGAGCCCUCUUCCCUGCAGGUAUGGUUAAGCAACACAAAUAACCACCAGGUUGACCGCCAAUGUUAUAGGAAGCAUGGGCUUUAGGCAUCAUCAUAACCUUAUGGAAGCAACAGAACUUAGAGUGUCAAUGUUCAUGAGGAAUUUUUUUUUUUUUGGGUGAAUGUUCAUGAGGAUUUUCAGACCUCAGUUAUCCUCAAAAUCUGCAAGUUAGUUGCAGAGGUACUUUUAAUAAUCUUGAACCUAGGGUGAGGGAUUUGCCCAUGGUUUUUGUCGUUCAUCCUCCUUAAUAUUUUUAUUAAUUAUGAUUCUAGAGAUUUGCUGGAACUUUUUUUUGAUACCUCUGUCACUUUUUUAUUGUUUCUGUUUCUACAUUUGUUUUCUGUUUGCAUGUGCUCACUGCUGGCCCAUGUUUUUUUUCCUAUGGAUUUGGUGGCUUUUAAAAAAGGAAAAAAGGUACUUUCUGUGGAAAUAAUUUCUGGUUAUGUCAUUGGUGAUUUGGAAGGAUUGGUCUUCAAUCUGCAUGAUUUGCACAUCUUUCCUAUGGUCCUUGGUGAGGUGUAAAGGCCAUAUAUGCCCUCAUGAAGGGAGGAUGCAAAGGAGGUCAAGUUUAGGGAGGAGUUUGAGGGGGCAUUGCUUGAGAGACACUCAGCACCAGGGGGGUUGCAUAUGAUAGUGAUAAGGAUAUGCCUGCUGAUGUGGAGACAGAAGCAGAAGCGAGAGAGACACUGCAUGCUAAGGCAGCCAACAAAGUUGCACAUUGGCAGUAGUAGGAUAAAGGCAGGGAGUUCAAGGAACUGGUUCUUCAAGCAUACUGUGACAUGGCUAUCUUUGUGAUACAAUCAGAGGAAUGGUUCCAUUGGUGGCAACAAUCUUCUAGUGGUUUUGAGUCUCCUCGGAAAUCUAUGUGGUAUUGACAUUGGUGUACUGUUAAAUGGUUAUUCUUCUUCUUCUUCAUUCUUAAUACAUAUUUCAAUUUCUUUUAUUGAAUGCAUGCUGGUAGUGCUAAAUUAUGGGGACAAAAAGUAAUAUAAGGGAAAGGACAUGGUAGGCUAUGACAUACACUAGCAACCUCCUAAAAUCAUGCUUAAAUAGUCUUGCUAAAAUUGAUGUCACUAUACAUGGUCAGUUGAAUCAAAUGUUUGACCGCUUAAAUGGUCAAUUUAAUUUUUUGACUGAAAUGUACCAUAUCUCCACCGAAAUUUUGGUAAUUUUACAGUACAUUUCGGUUUCGACUAGGGUAAUCACUAACCUUGAUGUCACUAUACAUGGUCAGUUGAAUCUAACUGGAUAGGAACCUCGCCUAAUCAUUGUUAUAAGGAUGAAAACUAUUUCAGAUGGACUUAAAAAAAGAUUUAUUGUUUGAAAGUGGUUGUUAGUUUUAAACUUUUAAAUUUAGUAUGUUCCUAGAAUGUACAUUAGUUUCUUUUUUCCCGUCAUGAUCUUGUUGGUCUGCAAGAUUUAAAAAUUAGGUCCAUUGUGGACGUAAAUUUAUAGCUUGUGCUUCUUGUAUAACAUGUCCAUGGUUCCAAAGCUGCCAUGGACCAUAUGCUUACAGUGUCGAAGGAUCACAUCCAGGUGCAUCUUCAUUUAUAUAAUUUUGCGCUGAUAUAAUGCAGGACAUGCAAUUUUCUCACAAUUUUUAUUAGAUCUCCUUGCAAUGAUCAUUAUGGUUGAAUUGGUAGGGACCAAGGGAAUUUUAUGAUGGACCUCUUAUCAAAUGCAUCAAUUCACAUGUUUCAGUUGAAAAGUUGAUGCCCUGGAGAACAAUUACACGUGGCUUCAUAUUUAAACAAAGUUGCUUUGUUGCUGUUAAAGAAUAGACCCUAUAUACUAUGGGGGUACAAUUUUAUGUCUACCACAAUAUGGGGGACUGUAAGAGUAUUGAUUCUGCUACUCUCUUAACAGUCUCUCCCUCUUCUUUUUCUUUCUCUUUCAUCUCCUCUCUUCUACUGCAGUUACUGGUUACAGAUCCUGGUUUGCCACAGUUGCUCUAGCAACCAUGGCUGCAGGGUAGGAAACUCAGUUUUGAAUUUUAACUUAGUAACAUCAGGGUACACUGAUGCUUUUCUAUUAGGGGUGAGGAUCAGUAACUUCAGCUCCAUCAAGUCCUUUUGAUAUGGUGUCUUUUCAUUUUUAUCCUUAUUAAUCCCAGUUUGAGAUGGUCUAAAAUGGGUAAAGACUAAAAGCCUCAGACUGACCUGUAGAAACUACGCAGUUCCGUUGGGUUUUAAGUUGUCAUUGAGCUUUUUUUGGUGGAUGCAACUUUCAAAAGCAACGAUGAUUCAACCUUAUGCCAAUCCAAUGUUGAAAUCUUCACACCCAUUAAAGAGAAACAGGAAAGUUAGAAAUGUUGGGACACAUUUGCCACCAUAGGCAUAUAUAUAGCUAAAAUAACGAUUUAAAGGUAGUCACUGGUACUGUUGGGGAUUUGAAGGAUAUGUUCCAUUAUUUACGAACUAAGAUAUUUUCUACGUUUCUUGGAUUCCGUUGUGUUUGGUUUCUGAUAGUUGUUGCCUACAAGAUAACUAGUAACUUUUGACAUUUUAAUGCUUCAAGUGACACUUAUCUGGACCUCCAUUUUAAUUUCUUUUCUUAUUCUCCUUUUUUUUUUUGGUGGGGAUAUGGUUGUUGGUUAGUUCUUCACCUCAGUUCAGCCUUUGAUAAGCCCAGGAAGACAGUUUAUUGGUGUUCUUAAAAUCCACUAGAUGGGUGAAUAUUCUCAUGUUCUUGUUUAUCGAUGAACAUGCACUCUUGGCUCAAUAUUUUUUUCUGUAUUUUUGUUAUAUAUUGUUGACUGUAAUAUAUGUAAGCAUUUCUCAGGGUUUUCCCUUAUUUUUUGGACGGCCUGGCCUUGAGAUUAUGAGGAGUUCCCUCGUAAUGUAGUAAUUCAAAUGUGUUUCAUUACAGUUUUUAUUCAGUUUUUCUGUCCAUUUAUUUGGGAUCAUGUGCUAACUGAACUCAACUGAGCUUAUCUCUUCUACAUGGGGGUUGGCAGCAAAAAUUCAUCAUUCAACCUUGAUUAGGUUAAUAUUCUGGUUACUCAUUAUCAUUUGUCUUUAUCACCACUUCAAUCCAAGACAUUUUGGGUGCCUACUAACUCCUCCAACUUGUACCAUGCCACCUCUUGCUGUUGCACUCAUUGGUCUUAUUUGCACAUGGCUGAACCAUCUCUCACUUUCCCUUUUUCAUCACUUAUAAUGAUUAAAUUUCCUUGACUACAUUUAUUUCUGAUUCUAUCACAUCCUUAGACUUGGCACUAAUCCAUCUCAGUAUUCUCAUGUUAACAAUGCGUAUUAUAUAUUUACACUAAAUUUUGUGGAAUUUGGAUAUAUUAUGUGUUCAUUUUCUUAUUGCUAAUUCUGUGUUGUGUGUGCAUGUGUGUGUAUUAUUUCUUGCCCCCUCUUCAAAUUAGGUUGGGAUGCCUGUGAACUUGAGGGACUAAAGGUCUUAACCAGCCAUAGUGGUGAAGAGGUAAAGCAUAAUAGUAUUACAUUAGAUAUUCCCGGUGUCCUUUUAUUAUCGCUCAUACUUGGUCCCUCUUAAAAUAUAAUUUGUAUAAUGAUGCAGUUAAAUCUUCUUUACAUGAAUGAAACGAGUGAAUAUAAUUUUUUGGUUGAUCUCAACAGAUGUGACCUAAUUUCAUUAAUGAUCAUUGCCUGAUGCAAACUCAUGGAAAUGAAAACCUUUGUAAUAGUGACAAUGUUGAUCUUGAAGUUUCAUGUACUUCUUUAAUGAUGUUAUUUUUUCCUUCUUGUUCUUAUUAUUAUCUCGUUUGUUAUCAUUUUGUCCUUGAAAUUUAUCACAAUAGCGGGAGCCUAUUGCACUGGGUUGCUCUUUUUUUAAUGUUUUUUUUUUACUUGCAGUCUUAUAAGAAAACUGAAUAUAAGUUUUUCAUUUGCUAAAGAAAGGUAGUUCCAGCCUUUCCUUUUCCUUAAAGUUACUUACUUGGUGAAGAAAAUAAAGAGGAUAUUUGAGAAAUUUUUAUUUUAAUUUGUUUCAUGAACCGGUCAUUUUUUAUUUUGGAUGUAGCUUUCAUGGUUUCAUUAUGAUUAUUACAUGCUUCCUAUUCCCAUGAAACUGAUUUUCCAUAUUUAUUCUUUCUCAGGUGACAUAAUCUGAAGUUUUAAUGGAUAAUCGUAUAUACCUGUUGGAUAUGUUUCAUGCCCCAUAGAAACAGGGAUUGGUUGCCUUCUGCAUGCAGAGUUGAGAAAGAGACUGCAAGAUGCUGGUAUUUGUACAAUAUUAUGUUGGGAGGACAAGGAAUCGGAGGGAUUUUGUCAUAAACAGAUGAUUGAUGACCUUGAUGGCGUUGUUACCUCCGACGGAAGUGUUAGCACUCAUAUUAUCACAGGAAAAGUGAGAAGAACUAGAAAUCUCUGCAUUGCUCUUUGUUCAGGGUUAGUCUUCCACCUUAGACCACUUCAGUUUUGUUCUCUCUAUCUCUCAUUUAUACUGAUAUUUAUCUUACAUCGUAUUAGAGACUUUCUUCUGUUUAAUCUUUUAGUAGGCUAAAGUUCUAAUUAAGUAUUCAUUUAUGGUUUCAUUCCAUUUGUAAUUAAUUUUUUCUAAGAUGUUGGCUUUGUUAGAGAAAUGUAUUUUCGAAUAUAUGGAAUGGUUUUUGUGUUAGGAACCAAUAGCAAUGCGUAGAGAGCUAACUAUGAUAUAGGUGUCUUACAAAAUGCGUUGGACUGUCUCUGACUUUAGAACUGUUGGCUUGAUUCAAUGACACAUCAGCACUAUAGGGCUUGAAGCUACAACACUUAUGCCUUUGUAACAGUUUGUGGCUCACAGUUAUUGACACUAGCUUAGUCUUCCUGCCUGACAUAAUAUAAUGGGUUGAGUGCUCCAUUUUAUUGACUUUACAACCCUACUAUGGCAAACCCUUAAGGUAAGAGAUUCACCUGCCAAGUUUACACCAUCUUUCUCAGUCAAAAGUUUGAUCUUAUAGCUAAAACCAUUGGCACCGAUUUUGUAAAGAUGUCGGGAUAGUCUUGUAGUUAAAGUACCAAUUAACAUUUUAGCAUUGAAAAGGAAAUCCACUGUCAGAUAUUUGAAAUCUAGUCAGAUAUUAAGUAUCUGUUUUGAUAAAGACCUACAACUACAAAUAAUGUGAAUCGGCUAAUGAGUUUAUGAAGUUUGAAAAUCAGUGACCAAAAUAACCGUCCGUUUCUCUAGGACUUUCAGAAGCAACUUCGUACAUAGAUGACAAACCAGGGUUCUGACAGCAAAUAUUACAUUCCAACCCCUGACCCUCUGUUCUUCCCCUUCAACAUGUUAGUGGCUUCUAGAUUUGAGUUGAAGAUGAAUAGAAGUAGACCACUUCUAAUCAUAGGGACCAAUGCCGGUUGGAUUACUGAUCAACUAUGGACCUCCAUCGGUUGGAUUACCAACCAAACUCUCGAAACCUACAAGGCCUGAGUAAAGCCUUAUUGACUUGGGAGGGGUGUUGUAAACUUUACAAAAUGACUUGAGAAAUUUCUUAUAGAGAUUUUCAUUUUCUGUUUUAGAAACCUCAUCUUUUGGGACGACAGCAAUCUAAUAACCAAUAGAAAAACACGAAGAAUUGUCUCUUUUUUUGGUACUCACAUUCAUGUCUUAUCAUUAGUCAAGUCAAAUGAAUCUCUUCGCCUGAUUAAAAUAGAAAAACACGAAAAAUUGCCUCUUUUUAUCACCAUCUUAAUUAAAAUAGUGAUCUAUAGUUUGAGGCUAUCAAUCAAUAAAAUAACUAUUACAAAUUUCCAGACAUAUUAUUUCUUACAAUUUUUCCUGUUAAAUUAUCAAAUAUGUGUAAUGAUCAUUACUGGUUCUACGUAUAGAAGAAACAAUAAGGAAGGUUUCUUACUCCCCACAAUGAGUCACCUAUAAUUAUUAAAUUUUAAUGACUGAAAUACAAAUAUGCCUCAGUGAGAAAUAUGUUACGGUGUAAAACUACAGAAGGAUACAAAUAAAGCAGAUAAAACAAAGGCUGCAAUCUCAUAAAGGCGAGCUAUCCCCAAAACAUAGUCUUGGAUGAAAGACCCUUCUCUUCAUAAAUUAGGAUUUUAUUCUAAAAUAAAUCAUAAUUAUAUUUUUCUUUCCUCUCUAAUAAAAGUUUAAGAGAGAGAGGUAUCAGGAACGUAAUGAGCUGCUUACUCAUCAGGAGUAAGGGUUUCAAGGAUUCUAUGUGUGCUAGUAAUUCAUUUUUCAUCUUGCCUAUGUUCUUAGUUUUCUGUAUCUCACCUUAUGUUGCCUGUAAACAAAAGAAAAA